rnacentral:rRNA from 1 species
GAUGAACGCUGGCGGCGUGCCUAAUACAUGCAAGUCGAGCGAACAGACGAGGAGCUUGCUCUUCUGACGUUAGCGGCGGACGGGUGAGUAACACGUGGAUAACCUACCUUUAAGACUGGGAUAACUUCGGGAAACCGGAGCUAAUACCGGAUAAUAUAUUGAACCGCAUGGUUCAAUAGUGAAAGACGGUUUUGUUGUCACUUAUAGAUGGAUCCGCGCCGCAUUAGCUAGUUGGUAAGGUAACGGCUUACAAAGGCAACGAUGCGUAGCCGACCUGAGAGGGUGAUCGGCCACACUGGAACUGAGACACGGUCCAGACUCCUACGGGAGGCAGCAGUAGGGAAUCUUCCGCAAUGGGCGAAAGCCUGACGGAGCAACGCCGCGUGAGUGAUGAAGGUCUUCGGCUCGUAAAACUCUGUUAUUAGGGAAGAACAAAUGUGUAAGUAACUAUGCACGUCUUGACGGUACCUAAUCAGAAAGCCACGGCUAACUACGUG